rnacentral:lncRNA from 1 species
UAUAAAAAAAAAAAAUUCGACGAUGAUACCAUCUAUAUCGUUUUUAGAGUCUGAAAAUAUGUUGCGAAUAACUGUAAAUAGAAAUGAUUCAUUUUUUUAUUAUAUAAUAUUAAUGAAAAGUUUACUCUUUUAGUUUAUGUUUUUGUGUUUUCUCUAGCUUCAUCAUAUAUUUGACCCCACUAAGAAGAUUUUUUUAAUCCGCCACUGUAUUUAACCCUAUGGGACCACUAUCAUCUUAACCGCACAUCCUUUUAUCUUAAGGCGAAAACCUAAUAAUACUAAUGACUUAGUACUAUUAAUAGUAUAUAGUAGCCUAGUUCUAACAAUCUAACCAUGCAACUU